GGGGAUGUAGCUCAGUUUGGGAGAGCAUCACGCUGGCAGCGUGAGGGUCGUGGGUUCGAACCCCAUCAUCUCCA
rnacentral:tRNA from 4 species